GCAGAGAGUUUUAAGCAGGAAGUGAUGCGUUGGGAAGGGGGUGGGGGGGAAGCAUGGAAGGCGUUUUUUUCAGACAUGUUUUAAGGAGGUAAUUAAAUAGUUUUAAGGAGAGGUGCGAAUGCCUCGGUCGAGAUAGAAGGGGGUCAAGAGGAAAUGAGAUAGAACGAGGCGCGAUUCAGUCACAAGAAAAGGAGCACUCCCCAUUCGGGUCAGCAGCGUGAGGAAAAUAUUCCAGUCAGAGACAGUGCCUUCUCUCUGAAAGGAGAGGGGGACCUCUUAAGGAGAGGGAAUGCACUUAACCUGGAAAUGCUCUUCCUUGGAGAGAGGUUGAAGCUGGGUCACUGACAGCAUUCAGGAAGAAGCUAGAUUAGGACUUUUCUUCCUGAGACACAAAAGGCCUGGUGCUGGGAGACAGGAUUAGUACAAAAGGGUUCUCACUGGUCUGCAACGGCAAAUCAGAGGUGGAGAGAGUCAACAAUGUCAAAUUUCUGUGUUACCAUUUCAGAGGAUCUGUCCUGGAAAACAAAUCACAGCAGUGCCUUUAGAAGUCUGCAAAGAUUCAGUAUGUCAUCAAACUCGUAUAGAUGUGUGGCGAAUAUAUUUUCUGGAUGAUCACAGCGUGGUAUGGAACCCCAACGCUCUUGUAUGGAAAAACCUACAAAAAGUAGUGGAUAUGGCUCAGUACAUUAUCAGCAAAGCCCUCCCCACCAUUGAGCAUACCUGCAUGGAGCACUGACACAGGAAAGCAGCAACUAUCUUUGAGGACCCCCACCAACCAGUCACUGUUCUGUUCUGUUCUCACUGCUGCCGUCAGGAAGAAGGUACAGGAGCCUCAAGACCCACACAACAGAUUCAGAGUUACUCCUUCACACCCUAUCACUGAACUAUUCCCACAAUCUAUGGACUCACUUUCAAGGACUCUUUGUUUCAUGUUCUGGAUAUUUAUUGCUUAUUUAUUAGUAGUAUUAAUUUUUCUUUCGUUUUGUAUUUGCACAGUUUAUUGUUUAUCUUUGCACCUUUGUCCUGUCGAGUGCAGACUUUAAUCGAUUCUAUUGCGUUUCUUGUAGAUACCGUGACUGCCCACAAGAAAAUGAAUUUCAGGGUUGUAUUAGGGGCCACGUAUGUAAUUUACAAAUAAAUUUACUUUUCACUCGGAA